UACGGGGGGGGCAAGCGUUGUUCGGAAUUACUGGGCGUAAAGGGCUUGUAGGCGGCCAACUAAGUCCGACGUGAAAUCCCCAGGCUUAACCUGGGAACUGCGUCGGAUACUGGAUGGCUUGAAUUCGGGAGAGGGAUGCAGAAUUCCAGGUGUAGCGGUGAAAUGCGUAGAUAUCUGGAGGAAUACCGGUGGCGAAGGCGGAUCUCUGGACAGUUCCUGACACUGAGGCACGAAGGCCAGGGGAGCAAACGGG
rnacentral:rRNA from 1 species